UACGGGAGGCAGCAGUGGGGAAUAUUGCACAAUGGGCACAAGCCUGAUGCAGCCAUGCCGCGUGUAUGAAGAAGGCCUUCGGGUUGUAAAGUACUUUCAGUCGUGAGGAAGGUGUUAAGGUUAAUAACCUUAGCAAUUGACGUUAGCGACAGAAGAAGCACCGGCUAACUCCGUGCCAGCAGCCGCGGUAAUACGGAGGGUGCGAGCGUUAAUCGGAAUUACUGGGCGUAAAGGGCACGCAGGCGGUUAAUUAAGUUGGAUGUGAAAUCCCCGGGCUUAACCUGGGAAUGGCAUUCAAGACUGGUUAGCUAGAGUCUUGUAGAGGGGGUAGAAUUCCGAUGUGUAGCGGUGAAAUGCGUAGAGAUGUGGAGGAAUACCGGUGGCGAAGGCGGCCCCUGGGACAAAGACUGACGCUCAUGUGCGAAAGCGUGGGGAGCAAACAGGGAUUAGAUACC
rnacentral:rRNA from 1 species